UAUUCUUCCCUGUCUAAAAUAGCCUCUAACUCUGAUGACAGGGAAUUCUCAAGAUCGAAUAGAAAGGAAUUCAACGGAUCAUUUUCAAGUGAUAAUUGGACACCUUUAAUUCAGGAAAGAAUCCUAGCCUUAGAUUUAAAAACAUCCCCAAAGACUUCCUUAGCCCAACCCUGAAGAUCCCCUGCUAAAUGAGACAACUUUCUAGGCAACUCACCAUUGAGAUUAGCCCACUUAUCUUGAAACCAACCUCUAAAGGAGGGUUCCAAACACCUGUUGACAUAUGUUUGACCAUCAGUUACCAUGUAAGCUGAAUUUCCCUUUCCAGAACUGACUGAGAAAAACAUCCAUGUCACUCACAAUGCUUCUAGGCCAUCCAUGUAGCUUAAAAACAUUAGAUAUGCUUGUGCAACUUGUAUUGCCGUGAAUGGAUUUGAUAAGGGUAUAAAAUGACUCUACUUACUCAACCUCCCUACCACCGCAAAGAUCACAUCACUGCUUCCUGAUUUAGGAAGUUUAGUAAUGAAAUCCAUACUGAUAUCAUUCCACACAGCUUUUGGAAUGGGUAGGGGUUUGGAGCAACCCAAGCUUGGCUGCAGAAUUAUACUUAGAAGCUUGACAAAUGUGACAUUUCCCCACAAAUUGCCUGACUUCUUUGGUCAAUCCUUUCCAGUGAAACUAGCUUUUAACUCUUUUAAUGGUCAAUUACCUACCAGAAUCACAACUUUCAGGAGAAGAAUGUAACCAUGUAAUAACCUUGCUCCUUAAAUUGUGGCAAAUAAUGUCAUUCGAGUUGCCUUUGAGAGUCAGGCCUCUCCGUCGCAGUUUAUCGAUUGCCGUUUAGAGCAAUUCGAUAAACAGCAGACAGAUGUGAUCAUCACCUGUGCUCUUUGCUGCACCCGUCAGAAUGUCGAAGAUCGUCCGACAAUGAGCCAGGUUGUGCAAGUCCUGAAGGGAGAGUUGGCUGUUGAUGUGAUUGUUGGGCCUGAUGGACUAUGGCCUCCAGCUCAGAUUCCUAGUAACUUAAUGACAUUGGCAGAUUCUGACAGUUCAACAGAAGAGAUAGGCUAGUUAACUGGAUUGUGAAGAUACGUCUGCAAUGUUCCAUGCCGUUUCAAGACCAGUUUCAGAGAGGGUACUCAAGUCGAAUAAAGGAAGCUAGAAGAAGCU